GCCGGCAGCCUCACAUCCUUACUGGAAGAGAGAGACAGUGGGCACGUGGGUAUGCAGCACUGCUUGCCGCAGCCGGGGCUUCCUACAGGCUGGCCACCUGUGCAGCAAAUUCAGACCGCUCCACGGGGUGUGCUGUCCCUAGACUCUGAGGUAGACAGUGGCGGGGGAGAGCAUCUCAAAAGUCAGUGCCUCAAAUGCAGACUGCUGUUGUCGCCGAUGUUACCGUAGAGCUGUGGCUUUUUCUCGACAAGUAGAACACGUUUUUUGGUUGAUGGGUUGUUACGAUCUUUCCCACUUACAGUUUAGGCUAAAUCCCAGCUAUUAAAUUUGAAUACUGAAAACAGUCUUGGGGCACCUGGGUGGCUCGGUCGGUUAAGUGUCUGACUCUUGAUUUCGGCCCAGGUCAUGAUCUCAUGGUUUGUGAGACUGAGCCCUACGUAGAGCUCUGUGCUGACAGCAUGGAGCCUGCUUGGGAUUCUCUCCCUCUCUGCCCCUCCUCCACUCACGUGCUCUCUCUCAAAUAAAUAAAAGAUAAAACGCACAUAACCUUUAAGAAAAAACACGGCCUUCAAGGGCCAUACUAUUAAGAAUAAGGGAACUCAUCUAAGUUUAUAAAGGAAUUGAUUUUGAAAAGAGUAGAACUGACCAGACAAGAGUAAUACUUAAUGUAUUACAUAAAAGAUACAAAAUUGUAUUUUUACCCUAUUUGAAACUAUGAAAAUCACACAGAAAACAAUUUGGCAGUUCCAGGCAAAGUUAAACACAGAGUGACCGUACAGUCCAGUAAUUCUAUUCCUGGUUGUAUCUGAAAACGUGUGUGCACAAAAACUUGCACCUGAGCGGUCACUGCAGUGUUGUUCAUAAUAGUCCUAAAGUGGAGACAACCCAAAUGUCCGUGACCGAAUGAGUAGAUAAGCCAGAUGUGGAGGAUUAUCUGACCAUAAAAAGGAAUGACGUGCUGAUACCCACUUCACCAUGGAGGAACCUUAAAAACAAUAUGUUAAGUGAAAGAAGCCAAACGCAAAGGGCCAUAUAAUAUAUGACUACCUUUGCAUGAAAUGUCCAGGACCGCCAAAUAGAGAGGAGACCUGUGCUGUCAGGCUGAGGGGAUACAGGUCACUGAAUCCAAGGCCACCUGUGGAGGGAAGAGUUGAGAUGUCAGUGAGAACCUCCAGAACUUCCAGAAGGAAGUGGCCCUGCUGACUGACACCUUGACUUUGGCCCCAGUGAAGCUGAUCUGGCACUUCUGGCCUUUGGAAGUGUAACAGACUAGACCGGCAUCAUUUGAAGUCCCUGAGUUUGUGAUGCUAAUCUCAGUUUUAUGAGUAACAAGUUGGACAAAUCACAGACACCUGGGUACUUCACCUUCUAAGAUUAGUGACCGCUCAGGCCCCAUCAGACGCAAUCGUUACCAACGCCUUUGACCCUGAGGCCCUGCUGUUGGAGGUCCUCCGUUCGACUAGACAACGUUCGUACCCUCCUAACUCAAUCAUGGGCUCAAGGCCUCAAUGACAGGGUCCCUCACUGGUCGUAACUGCCAUGUGACUGGCCGGCUGCCCGGAAUCCUGCUUUGUUUUCACUCUCAACACCUUUGCCAACUCGUCUCGGCCGUAAGCUCCCAGGAACCAUUCCUGAUCAUCUCUGUAUAACCACCACCCUGUCCUGUCCAGCCCCGCCAUCCCUGUCAGCUCUCACUCCCACACUUGGUGCUAUGUGGGCACUUUGCAGUGAGUCCAAAGCCACUGGGGCAGGGUUAAGAGCAGAACCUAUGGCAGCGACUGACUAGUCAUCACCAGAUUGACUCAGGGUCAAAUUUGGCGGCCUCUUCCUUAGCGGUCAGCUUAGCAGUGAAGGUCUGGCACAUGCUUCCAUAGCACAUGCUUCAAUAAGUGGCUAACGAAGAAAUGAAUAAAAGAGCUAUUUCAACAUA